UACGGAGGGUGCAAGCGUUAUCCGGAUUCACUGGGUUUAAAGGGUGCGUAGGUGGGCAGGUAAGUCAGUGGUGAAAUCUCCGGGCUUAACUCGGAAACUGCCGUUGAUACUAUCUGUCUUGAAUAUCGUGGAGGUUAGCGGAAUAUGUCAUGUAGCGGUGAAAUGCUUAGAUAUGACAUAGAACACCCAUUGCGAAGGCAGCUAACUACACGAUCAUUGACACUGAGGCACGAAAGCGUGGGGAACAAACAGG
rnacentral:rRNA from 1 species